ensembl:snRNA U6 U6 spliceosomal RNA
AUGCUCAUUUCGGCAGCACAUACACUAAAAUUGGAAAGAUCCAGAGAAGAUUAGCAUGGCCCCAGAGCAAGGGUGACAUGCCAAUUCGUGAAGCAUUCCAUAUUAAG